rnacentral:tRNA from 1 species
GCGCGUGUGGCGGAAUGGUAGACGCGCCGCGUUCAGGUCGCGGUGUCCUUCGGGACGUGUGGGUUCGACUCCCACCAUGCGCAC